rnacentral:lncRNA from 1 species
GGAAAAGUCAGCCUAUAGAUUUAAUUUCUUGCAUUUGAAUGUAUUCAAAUUUUAUUACCAUUGUCUAUGGAUAUUUAACACUAGCAUUUGUGCAACAGUCCUCUUAGGCAGAGGGGGAUCUUAACACACAAAUCUUACACACUAAAAAUAACUGUACCAUGUUCAACAAGACUGUUUUUUGAUUCCAUAAACCAAGCUUGACAGAGCAGCCAAUUCAAGAGAAAUGAUUCCAGGACAUACGUGAACUUACCACUUAAGGGAACAUUACAGAUUAUACUAAAAUGUUACACAGACUUAGCGAAAGUUCAUCAUUUUCUCCUAGACGCAGACAGGUUCACCAUGUAGACACCUGUACAUUACAGCACUCUGAGGUUUUUGCAAAGCGUACAUUAUAGAUACAUUUUCCAUACAGUGCAAUUUUUAUUGUCUAAGACAUGAGUAAUAGUGCACUUAAAUCCAACAGUCACAUUCAAAUAUAUCAAGAGUAAACUUCAAGUACCUGGUUAUUGAAGAAAUACAUACU